rnacentral:rRNA from 1 species
UCUCCUGGAAACGGGUGGUAAUGCCGGAUGCUCCAGUUGAUCGCAUGGUCUUCUGGGAAAGCCUUUGCGGCAUGGGAUGGGGUCGCGUCCUAUCAGCUUGAUGGCGGGGUAACGGCCCACCAUGGCUUCGACGGGUAGCCGGCCUGAGAGGGCGACCGGCCACAUUGGGACUGAGAUACGGCCCAGACUCCUACGGGAGGCAGCAGUGGGGAAUAUUGCACAAUGGGCGCAAGCCUGAUGCAGCGACGCCGCGUGAGGGAUGGAGGCCUUCGGGUUGUAAACCUCUUUUGUUAGGGAGCAAGGCAUUUUGUGUUGAGUGUACCUUUCGAAUAAGCACCGGCUAACUACGUGCCAGCAGCCGCGGUAAUACGUAGGGUGCAAGCGUUAUCCGGAAUUAUUGGGCGUAAAGGGCUCGUAGGCGGUUCGUCGCGUCCGGUGUGAAAGUCCAUCGCUUAACGGUGGAUCCGCGCCGGGUACGGGCGGGCUUGAGUGCGGUAGGGGAGACUGGAAUUCCCGGUGUAACGGUGGAAUGUGUAGAUAUC